rnacentral:misc_RNA from 1 species
CAGUUUUGUUCAUUUCGCAUUUGUCGGUAAUGGUGAAAAGUGUUUUGGUAUUUCAAGAAAACAAUUCGAACAAAACUUUACGCCUUUAACUCUUAUUAAUUAGAUUUAUAUGAAAAUGGUUCCCUCAUUUUCGGACUGUUUCGAUUGCUGAAGAUUUUGGUUAAUUUAUAAGAUGACUUGUUAAAUUAUGUCUUCGCAAAUGGAAACACCCAAAUUUCUUGGCCUAUAGUCGUGGGACAGCAUGUAAUUGGUCCUACAUGAAUAAUAUUUGUGUUCCUUUCUACGUACAUUUUUACAUACCCAUGUACAUUUAAUGGAAGUGUUUUUCAAUUGGAUUUCCCUUAAUACAAAAAAUUAAAAGGUCAAUUAAAAUGCAUAGAAGAAAGCGAUUCAGAACAUUAAGAGCUGAUGGAAAGAGAUGUUAUUUAACUUCAGCAUAGAGACAAUUCAACGAAGAGCCAAUUUCUUAUAAUGUUCUGCCGUCCAUAUUGGCAAUGGCGAAAUAAGGAAACGAAAAUUAUGGCUAGAGCAAAAUGGAAGCGAAAAUAACAGUGAGAUAAUUAAAAAACAAAUUAAAUAAAAAAUAUACACACAUACAUUGAGGUGUUAAUGAUAUAUAUUCAUAUUACAUUUUAAAAUACUGACAAUAAAUGCGAUAUUACUUGUGUAUUAAAACGGAAAUAAAUGCAGAGUUCAUUGAAAUAUUACAUAAACAUCGAAGACAAAUGAGAAAAAUUACUUUGUCACUUAGUAAGGUUAAAUUUCGGUAAAUUAUACGAACAUCUGCUGCCGAGAUUGCCGAAAUUGCUGAAAUUGUUUGCAAGAAACAAAACUUACGAACAUCAAUGAACUUACUGUGCUGUUGCUGCGGUAAUAUGGCGCCGAACACGAGGAUAACUCGAAAAUGGGAGUUAUUUGCUGGGCGCAACAAAUUUUACUGCGAUGGAUUAUUGAUGUCCGCACCACACACGGGGGUUUUUUAUUUAACUUGCAUACUGAUAACGGGAACCAGUGCACUGUUUUUUGCAUUUGAUUGUCCGUUUCUGGCUACACGUAUAAAUCCUAUCAUUCCUAUUGUUGGUGCAGUGCUUUACUUCUUUACAAUGAGUUCCUUGCUACGAACAACCUUUACAGAUCCUGGUGUUAUACCCCGUGCUUCUCACGACGAGGCUGCCUAUAUAGAAAAGCAGAUUGAAGUGCCAAAUUCUCUCAAUAGUCCCACAUAUCGGCCACCGCCACGCACAAAAGAGGUCCUUGUUAAAGGACAAACAGUGAAAUUGAAGUAUUGCUUUACAUGUAAAAUAUUUCGACCCCCACGUGCAUCGCAUUGCAGUUUAUGCGAUAAUUGUGUUGAUCGGUUCGAUCACCACUGUCCCUGGGUUGGUAAUUGCGUGGGAAAACGAAAUUAUCGUUUCUUUUAUUUAUUUCUAGUCUCGUUAGCAUUUUUAGCGGUAUUUAUAUUUUCAUGUUCUGUGACUCAUUUAGUUUUAUUAAUGAAAGCAGAACAGGAAAUAUUUGAGGUGAUAAAAAAGGCGCCAUUUACUGUGAUUGUUGUGUUCAUUUGCUUCUUUUCGAUUUGGUCAGUUAUUGGUUUGGCAGGAUUUCAUACCUAUCUGACAACCAGUGAUCAAACUACGAAUGAAGAUUUGAAAGGAUCGUUUUCUUCAAAAGGGGGUCAGCGUUCCAUAAAUCCAUAUUCGCGAGGAAACAUCUGUCUAAAUUGUUGUCAUAUACUUUGCGGACCAAUGACACCAUCAUUAAUAGACCGUCGGGGCAUUGCAACGGAUGAUUAUAUUCUGCAAAUGCAACAACAUUCCAGUCCACGCCAUCCUUUAAGCGACGUGAUGAGUGCGUCUCACGUAGGUUCAAGUGGAAUGGUUACAGCCCAACCAGUAAUUGCAGGAGUAAGUACGGGCAUUAACGUUGGGGGCAAUGAUAUUAAAAACCGCCUUUACGAAGAGUCUAAUGCCUCUUCGGCAACAUUAGGUGCUAGUAAUGGAAUAUAUCGACCACGGAGUUAUGAUAAUCUACAAAACGGAAACUCCAAUAGCCUUGCGCAUUUGGUAGACAACGAAAUUCCCCUUUCCCAGAUGGACGUACCGCAAACACAAACCGCACAAAUGCAACGGCAAUUCCGUCACCAUAAAGAUCGUGUACAAACGAGUUCCUCAGAUAGCAAUAAUAUUAUAAAUACAUUUGACAGUAACGACUGCAAUCCGGACGAUGUAAUCGAAAUCGUCGGUAAAUCGGAAGUUGUAGUUGCUGUGGCAGCAAUCGCUGCUACAAGUCAAGCUCGUGAACGCCAGAAUCGUUCGGACAGCUAUAAUAACUUAUUUUAUUCGGAUAGUGGUCCCGCUAAUGCAAAAAGCAAUACAUUACCAUCGAGUGUUUCGGCUAUUGAAAGUUUUGAUAAAGAAUCACCCGAUCUUCCGCAAGAAAACAAUGCAGUUAACCUAUCUGCCAGUGUAGACAUGAAAGAUUCUGGAGAUUUGCCAGAACAAACUGAAUCAACAAAUGAAAAACAGAAAUCGAACUUGUUAAAACCAAUUUCCCAAAUAGAAAAUGUGUAUAGCAACGUCUUACAAAGUGGUGCUCCCUGUGCUAAACAUGUAGAUAGUAAUCCCAGCUUACAUGUGUACUCCAAUUUAAUGGACGAACAAAAACAGCACGAAUUAACGCUACAAAUGAAUAAACAAUAUAAGCAAUUAGCGCAGAAAAAUAUUACAUCAGCCGGUGUAAUGUUAUCGUCGGCGUUAUUAAAUGACGAUUUAGAUUUGGACGACCCAGUUAGUGCAUCAUUUGUUGCACAAGAAAACGUAGACUCCAGUUUUCUAUCUGCUAAUGGUAAAGUGUGUGAUAGCUCCAUGAGUGGUCUAAACCGUCUACGUAUGCUAAAUAAUACGACAAUGAUAAAUACCGCACUUGAUUUAGACAGCUUAGACGGUUCUAGCUUAGGCAACAAUUCUCAAUCGUGCUUAGUUAAAGAAGCUCCUCCAUUAUCAUAAGCUUCAUAUCGUCAACUACCAGAACAAAAUAGAUACUUAUACAUGUAUACUAAAAACUAAAAGUGUACAAGUUGAUAGUUUAAACUUUGUAUUUUAAUUUACAUAGGUUAAGAUUUAAUCAAACGGCAAUGAAGAUUUAAGUAUAUUUAUAGCAAACGGCAUUACUCGCACAAAAACUGAGAAAACUACAAAUUAUGAUGUGCAUAUUUUAAAUUAAAUUGAGUAGUUUGACAUGUUUAAUGAGUUCAAGUAGUUUAAAGCCAAGUUGUUAGGAUUGUAUAAACUAAAGGUACUGCCGCUGUUACCAGUGACUAUGGCAAUAUGAAGCUACCCAUCACCAAACACCAAUCAAACAAUUGAUUUUUAAUUUCAGUUAUGAUCUUUACUUUUGAAGUCAUCGGUCAUGGGUAAUUUCAUAUCUUGUCUGAAUUCCGAAUUUUAAAGUUUAGAAUAAAUUGUCGAGCUGUUGAAAGAGAAAUUUAGAAAAGACGUUGGAACACUAACGUUCAGAUUGAAUUUACACAUAACAAUAGCAGUAUCUGUUAUGCUGUUGUUGUAGCGCCAGAAAUCAUUCUUGAAGUAAUUUCGAAGAAUGGUGCCGAGGUGACAGUCCUUGGUCUGAUAAAAAUUCGGAACCGUUCCGAUUAUUUAGACCCGACUUUCGUGGGAACGGACAAGAACGUGCUUGUUAUGUAUGUAAAUGUUUUUGUAUGCAAUUAUUGUAAAAAUUAGUUUUAACUUUGAAUGCGUAGCCUUGAGGAAGUGAACAGAGGUCAUAUAAAGCAUGCUGUGAAUGAGCGUGUGAGAACAAAGCCAUAAUGAGGUACUUGCGCUUUCUUAAACGCUAUAUUUUUUAAUAGUGCGGAUUUGGAUAUUAAUCAGUUCAACCAGUUAGUCAACACAGCAAGAGUGUAAAUUUCAUAAAAAAUAGCAAGAAACUCUGCUAGUUCGGCUGUAUCAUAAAAGUACAAUGACAUAUUUAUUAUUGCCGUUAGUUUAGUGCUAAGUGUUAAUAUUAUUUUCAUAUGUCUCAUUAAGCUGAUUUUGUUGGUUAACCCUGAUUUUACCGUAUUUUUCUGAUGAUAUUUUUAAACAAAAAUUAUGUUUCUGAAAGAAAAUUAUAAACGAGUUAAAGUAAUGGGCAUGCAAAUUAAUCGGCAAUAGUAGUUGCAAUCAUCAUUCAUUCAUUCAUAGCACUUUAUAAUAACUACGGCUUGAGUUCGUUGAACAAUUUAUGUGAAAUCCUAGAAAAUAAGUAAAUAAUAAUUAGAGGUUAAAUGGCUGUGCCUCAAAAGAUAACCGUAGGUACGAAAUAAGCUAAAUUAACUUAAAUUGUUCGUGGGAGUUCAGGUGCACAAUUUUUAAUUAAAUUUUAGUUUAUUAUAAUUGCUUUUAGAUGUUAAAAUGUAGAAAAUAUACGCGAAUCAAAUCUAGAAAUUGCCAUUAAAAUAUGGAAGGUACGUAAAGGUAUUUAAGAUUUUAUAUUGAACAAUAAAAUGUCAGUUAAGAUUGUAAAUAAAAUAAAAAGUAAACAAAUACAUAUAUACAUGGUAAACCAUAUAAAAAGGAAGGAAUAAAUAAAUCAACCUGAUUAGUUAUAAAAGUUACUAUUACUAUUAUUGAGAUGUUAUAAAGUUGUGUUGCAGAGUAAAAGAUUAUUACAUAAACUCGUUACUGUAACUAGGUGAGAAUGUGAAUACUAUAAAUGAAUAAAGCAACGAAAACACUAACAUAAAUA